UACGUAGGGUGCGAGCGUUAAUCGGAAUUACUGGGCGUAAAGCGUGCGCAGGCGGUUUGUUAAGACAGAUGUGAAAUCCCCGGGCUUAACCUGGGAACUGCAUUUGUGACUGGCAAGCUAGAGUAUGGCAGAGGGGGGUAGAAUUCCACGUGUAGCAGUGAAAUGCGUAGAGAUGUGGAGGAAUACCGAUGGCGAAGGCAGCCCCCCUGGGCCCAAUACUGACGCU
rnacentral:rRNA from 1 species